CACGUAGGGCGCGAGCGUUGUCCGGAAUUAUUGGGCGUAAAGAGCUCGUAGGCGGUCUGUCACGUCGGCUGUGAAAACCCGGGGCUCAACCCCGGGCCUGCAGUCGAUACGGGCAGACUAGAGUGCGGUAGGGGAGACUGGAAUUCCUGGUGUAGCGGUGAAAUGCGCAGAUAUCAGGAGGAACACCGGUGGCGAAGGCGGGUCUCUGGGCCGUAACUGACGCUGAGGAGCGAAAGCGUGGGGAGCGAACAGG
rnacentral:rRNA from 1 species